rnacentral:rRNA from 1 species
UACGUAGGGCGCAAGCGUUGUCCGGAAUUAUUGGGCGUAAAGAGCUCGUAGGCGGCUUGUCACGUCGGUUGUGAAAGCCCGGGGCUUAACCCCGGGUCUGCAGUCGAUACGGGCAGGCUAGAGUGUGGUAGGGGAGAUCGGAAUUCCUGGUGUAGCGGUGAAAUGCGCAGAUAUCAGGAGGAACACCGGUGGCGAAGGCGGGUCUCUGGGCCGAUACUGACGCUGAGGAGCGAAAGCGUGGGGAGCGAACAGG